rnacentral:rRNA from 1 species
GACGAACGCUGGCGGCGCGCCUAACACAUGCAAGUCGAACGGAGCUGAGAGAAGCUUGCUUUUCUUAGCUUAGUGGCGCACGGGUGAGUAACGCGUGAGUAACCUGCCCUGGAGUGGGGGACAACAGUUGGACACGACUGCUAAUACCGCAUAAGCCCACGAUCCGGCAUCGGAUUGAGGGAAAAGGAUUUAUUCGCUUCAGGAUGGACUCGCGUCCAAUUUGCUAGUUGGUGAGGUAACGGCCCACCAAGGCGACGAUUGGUAGCCGGACUGAGAGGUUGAACGGACACAUUGGGACUGAGAAACGGCCCAGAAUCCUACGGGAGGCAGCAGUGGGGGAUAUAGCAAAAUGGGGGAAACCAUGAUGCAGCGACGCCGCGUGGAGGAAGAAGGUUGGCGGAUAGUAAACUCCUGUCGUUAGGGAGGAUAAUGACGGUACCUAACAAGAAAGCACCGGCUAACUACGUG